rnacentral:lncRNA from 1 species
UCAGGUUAAAACUGGAACAUUUUUCCGGCUAUCAAAAAGACAGCCAUGGGCACCCCGGGGAGUUCCUCCGUCCCACGGGAGUCGGGCAGCCUAAAGGCAGAAGUUCAGCUACGGGUGACCCCGUUAGAGAUGAAGUUCUGUGACGCGAUGGUGGGGAAAGUGUACCGUCUCCCGAUCACUGUACACAAUCUUGGUCGUUGGAACAAGAAAAUUCGGUUUAUGGAGCCAACCAAGAAACAGUUCAAGUUGAUGUUGACCAAUCUGGAUAAAGAACUCGCUUCUGGUCUGAAGACAACAGCUAUGGUGGAAUAUCAUCCUGAUAAAGAUGAAGAUACUUUUGACCAACUACUUAUUUUAGUGGGAACUAAAACAAUAGUAGUACCUCUAAUGGGG